rnacentral:rRNA from 1 species
UAGGGAAUCUUCCGCAAUGGACGCAAGUCUGACGGAGCAACGCCGCGUGAGUGAAGAAGGAUUUCGGUUCGUAAAACUCUGUUGUUAGAGAAGAACAGCGCAUAGAGUAACUGUUAUGCGUGUGACGGUAUCUAACCAGAAAGCCACGGCUAACUACGUGCCAGCAGCCGCGGUAAGACGUAGGUGGCAAGCGGUGUCCGGAUUUAUUGGGCGUAAAGCGAGCGCAGGCGGUCAAUUAAGUCUGAUGUGAAAGCCCCCGGCUCAACCGGGGAGGGUCAUUGGAAACUGGUUGACUUGAGUGCAGAAGAGGAGAGUGGAAGUCCAUGUGUAGCGGUGAAAAGCGUAGAUAUAUGGAGGAACACCAGUGGCGAAGGCGCAUCUCUGGUCUGUAACUGACGCUGAGGUUCGAAAGCGUGGGUAGCAAACAGG